rnacentral:rRNA from 1 species
GCGCUUUUGGAGCGGCCGAUGUCUGAUUAGCUAGUUGGUGAGGUAAAGGCUUACCAAGGCGUCGAUCAGUAGCUGGUCUGAGAGGACGACCAGCCACACUGGGACUGAGACACGGCCCAGACUCCUACGGGAGGCAGCAGUGGGGAAUUUUGGACAAUGGGGGAAACCCUGAUCCGGCCAUGCCGCGUGAGUGAAGAAGGCCUUCGGGUUGUAAAGCUCUUUCAGCCGGAACGAAACGGUCACGGCCAAUACCCGUGACUACUGACGGUACCGGAAGAAGAAGCACCGGCUAACUACGUGCCAGCAGCCGCGGUAAUACGUAGGGUGCAAGCGUUAAUCGGAAUUACUGGGCGUAAAGCGUGCGCAGGUGGUUUUGUAAGUCAGAUGUGAAAUCC